rnacentral:rRNA from 1 species
UACGGGGGGAGCAAGCGUUGUUCGGAUUUACUGGGCGUAAAGGGCGCGUAGGCGGCCACCGCAAGUCGACUGUGAAAUCUCCGGGCUUAACCCGGAAAGGUCAGCCGAUACUGCGGGGCUAGAGUGCAGAAGGGGCAACUGGAAUUCUCGGUGUAGCGGUGAAAUGCGUAGAUAUCGUUUGGAACGCCAAUGGUGAAAACAGGUAGCUGGGAGUGUGCCGACGCUGAGACACGAAAGCCAGGGGAGCGAACGGG